AUUGAACGCUGGCGGCAGGCCUAACACAUGCAAGUCGAACGAGUUGCGGACGGGUGAGUAAUGUCUGGGAAACUGCCUGAUGGAGGGGGAUAACUUCUGGAAACGGUAGCUAAUACCGCAUACCAUCAGAUGUGCCCAGUUGGGAUUAGCUAGUUGGUGGGGUAACGGCUCACCAAGGCGACGAUCCCUAGCUGGUCUGAGAGGAGGACCAGCCACACUGGAACUGAGACACGGUCAAGACUCCUACGGGAGGCAGCAGUGGGGAAAAUUGGACAAUGGGCGCAAGCCUGAUGCAGCAAUGCCGCGUGUAUGAAGAAGGCCGUCGGGUUGUAAAGUACUUUCAGCGGGGAGGCGUUACCCGCAGAAGAAGCACCGACUAACUCCGUGCCAGCAGCCGCGGUAAUAA
rnacentral:rRNA from 1 species